rnacentral:misc_RNA from 1 species
GAACUGCGAUAAGUAAUGUGAAUUGCAGAAUUCAGUGAAUCAUCGAGUCUUUGAACGCACAUUGCGCCCCCUGGCAUUCCGGGGGGCAUGCCUGUCCGAGCGUCAUUGCUGCCCUUCAAGCCCGGCUUGUGUGUUGGGUCGUCGUCCCCUCCGGGGGACGGGCCCGAAAGGCAGCGGCGGCACCGCGUCCGGUCCUCGAGCGUAUGGGGCUUUGUCACCCGCUCGAUAAGGACCGGCCGGGCGCCAGCCGGCGUCUCCAACCUGUUUUUCUCAGGUUGACCUCGGAUCAGGUAGGGAUACCCGCUGAACUUAAGC